rnacentral:tRNA from 1 species
GGAGAGAUGCCGGAGCGGUUAUCGGGAUGGUUUGCUAAACCAUGUCGCGAAAGCGACACGUGGGUUCGAAUCCCACUCUCUCCG